AGAAAUCUGCUCUCCUCUCGAGUUGCAACGGGUAACUCCUGGAGCUCUUUCAGUGGCCUAAAGGGAAUCAAGCCUCCUAUGGAGUUUUGAGAGGGAACUCGGGAUUGCUCUCUAGGCCCUGCAGGUCAUCCACAGGACCCAAGGCAUGGUGGUUACUAAUAGACUUCCCACAGUACUUCUUCAUUCCAUGUGGACUCCUUCAAGGGCAGUGAGCAUCACAGCUUCCCUUGAACUUCGUCUGGAUGCUACAGAAGGAAAGGACCUCAUCUCAAGUUGAGGGGAGAAUCCUGUGGUUUUCCUUGAGGCCUGGCGUGAAGUUUCGUGUUCCUCUCGAGUUGCAACGUGGACCUCAGUGUCCCGCUCGUAUUGCCUCAGUUGUUUCCUGACCCUCGCUGACGCCGUCCCUCCUUCGAAUACCCUGGAUCAGCCGGGGCUGGACCCCGGCAGGUGGCGCCCGAGACACGCUAUUCGAAGGUAAGCUCCCCAAAGCAAUUAGGGUCAUCAUCCCUAUUGCCCUCCCC
ensembl:lncRNA